rnacentral:rRNA from 1 species
UGGGGAAUUUUGCACAAUGGGGGAAACCCUGAUGCAGCGACGCCGCGUGAUUUAGAAGGCCUUCGGGUUGUAAAAAUCUUUUCUAUGGGAAGAAAAUGACAGUACCAUAGGAAUAAGGACCGGCUAAUUACGUGCCAGCAGCCGCGGUAAUACGUAAGGUCCGAGCGUUGUCCGGAAUCAUUGGGCGUAAAGGGUACGUAGGCGGGUAAGCAAGUUAGAAGUGAAAUCCUAUAGCUCAACUAUAGUAAGCUUUUAAAAAUGCUCAUCUUGAGGUAUGGAAGGGAAAGUGGAAUUCCUAGUGUAGCGGUGAAAUGCGCAGAUAUUAGGAGGAAUACCGGUGGCGAAGGCGACUUGCUGGCCAUAGCCUGACGCUGAGGUACGAAAGCGUGGGUAGCAAACAGG